AGUCCCACUCCUUCCCUUCCCCAAACCUAGCCGCCUCAAUCCGCUCCCCUAGGGUGCCUUUCAGCCAUCGGCGAGCAGGCCCUCCCUUGCCGGCGACCAGUGGCGGCCGGUGAUGCAGCCCACGCGAUACAUCCCACUACUCGCCUCCUAUUAUGAGAUACCCUAAAUCUGAGAAAUUCUUUUGCAGCUAAGAUGUAUUUGGGCUACUACGUGAUGCGGAUGUUUGUUGAAAAGCCUCGUCGGCGAGUCAGAGCACGGCGGCGCGGAAGCGGAAGGGCACGAAAUUAUGUGUAUCCUUGAACGUGCGAUGUCACUGGAGGCUGCAGGCGGCACGAUCUGGCGUAUCAAGAAGCCUAAAAUAGAGCUGCAUCAGUAGUAGCAACCUGCAGCAGGACGACCUGCAGAAGAUAAAACCGCAAAUUGGGUGCUGAAGUACUUGUAUCUGUUCCAAGGUUACUCGAGAAGAUAUAUCAAAUAGAAUCUGACAUAGCAAAUGAGCAAAUUCAGAAGCUCUCAAGGCUGCUGCUAACAUUGUAUAUACCACCAACGGAAUUGAUGAUAUCUCACUGAAUGUGUUUUUUCAUUAUUCAUGCAGAAGUUCAUUGUCCUAUUUUAAAUUUGACUUCGGAUAUAGUUUGGCAUCCUUCCAGUAUAGACUAUUUAUGUAUUUCCUUUAACUAGUCCAUGCUAUUAUUGAUAUAUUUUAUUUAUCAGCUACUAGUUUUCGUCGGUGGCACAUACAAAAUCUGCUGAAUAAUACUGACAUAAAUGACUCCAGCGAGAACUUAUAGUAAUUCCUCCCUCAUAUUACUUUUACAACUUCAACUUGCUAAAAGCUAAGACUACCAUCACGCUUGUGACUAGAUUUAGAUUCACUUUUUUUUGCAUCACGUGGUAUAUGCUUGCUUGCAGUUUUGGAAUCUUACCAUGGGAACCAAUGCGAGUUUGAAGUGACAUGGGUCCAUGUUAGUAGUUUCUAAGUUUUCAUUUUAUGUUUUUCAUGUUUUUUAACUGCACAUGUAUCUGCGCCUUAAAAGAAUUUAGAGUAUAAAUGGCUGACCCUGCAAACCUCGGUUCCUGGUGUGAACUUCUACUUAUGCAUGUUGGAAAAAUUGUAGCUUUCGAUAAUUUUAUUGACCAUUCCAUCGAUUAGUUAAUUAAGAACUUUGAUAUGCUGUCGGCUGGAUGAUCUAGCUUGAUAAUUAAAUGAUUGUGAUCAUCUAUUUUAUGGAUUGUUCAGAUCCCAUCUUGGUUAUUUCAUGAUCUUAUAUAGAUUUCCUUUUUCAUUUCCAUCUGUGUGGUAGCCAUAAUGACGUGUGGUCUGAUGAGCUGAUUUAAAUGCAAUGGAUCGCAAACAUGUCUUAUGCUGAACUAGUUUUGGCAUGCCACCAAGGUUCCAUACAUCAGAAGACUUGCUCUAUCGGAUAUCAGAAUUUGUUGGCAAAUUAGUAGAACCGAUGUAUAUAGGUCUAGGUAGACUAUCAAAUUGUGCUGCAAAAUUGUAAACUUUCUCCUUUUCAGAAAACUUUCAUGUAUGGAUGGUGAUUUCAAUAAUAAAUAUUUAAUUUUUGUCACUAAA